rnacentral:rRNA from 1 species
GACGAACGCUGGCGGCGUGCUUAACACAUGCAAGUCGAACGGAAAGGCCCUGCUUUUGUUGGGUGCUCGAGUGGCGAACGGGUGAGUAACACGUGAGUAACCUGCCCUUGACUUUGGGAUAACUUCAGGAAACUGGGGCUAAUACCGGAUAGGAGCUCCUGCUGCAUGGUGGGGGUUGGAAAGUUUCGGCGGUUGGGGAUGGACUCGCGGCUUAUCAGCUUGUUGGUGGGGUAGUGGCUUACCAAGGCUUUGACGGGUAGCCGGCCUGAGAGGGUGACCGGCCACCUUGGGACUGAGAUACGGCCCAGACUCCUACGGGAGGCAGCAGUGGGGAAUAUUGCACAAUGGGCGGAAGCCUGAUGCAGCAACGCCGCGUGCGGGAUGACGGCCUUCGGGUUGUAAACCGCUUUCGCCUGUGACGAAGCGUGAGUGACGGUAAUGGGUAAAGAAGCACCGGCUAACUACGUG